GGGUUGUGAGGUUAAGCGACUAAGCGUACACGGUGGAUGCCCUGGCAGUCAGAGGCGAUGAAGGACGUGCUAAUCUGCGAUAAGCGUCGGUAAGGUGAUAUGAACCGUUAUAACCGGCGAUUUCCGAAUGGGGAAACCCAGUGUGUUUCGACACACUAUCAUUAACUGAAUCCAUAGGUUAAUGAGGCGAACCGGGGGAACUGAAACAUCUAAGUACCCCGAGGAAAAGAAAUCAACCGAGAUUCCCCCAGUAGCGGCGAGCGAACGGGGAGGAGCCCAGAGCCUGAAUCAGUGUGUGUGUUAGUGGAAGCGUCUGGAAAGGCGCGCGAUACAGGGUGACAGCCCCGUACACAAAAAUGCACAUGCUGUGAGCUCGAUGAGUAGGGCGGGACACGUGGUAUCCUGUCUGAAUAUGGGGGGACCAUCCUCCAAGGCUAAAUACUCCUGACUGACCGAUAGUGAACCAGUACCGUGAGGGAAAGGCGAAAAGAACCCCGGCGAGGGGAGUGAAAAAGAACCUGAAACCGUGUACGUACAAGCAGUGGGAGCACGCUUCGGCGUGUGACUGCGUACCUUUUGUAUAAUGGGUCAGCGACUUAUAUUCUGUAGCAAGGUUAACCGAAUAGGGGAGCCGAAGGGAAACCGAGUCUUAACUGGGCGUUAAGUUGCAGGGUAUAGACCCGAAACCCGGUGAUCUAGCCAUGGGCAGGUUGAAGGUUGGGUAACACUAACUGGAGGACCGAACCGACUAAUGUUGAAAAAUUAGCGGAUGACUUGUGGCUGGGGGUGAAAGGCCAAUCAAACCGGGAGAUAGCUGGUUCUCCCCGAAAGCUAUUUAGGUAGCGCCUCGUGAAUUCAUCUCCGGGGGUAGAGCACUGUUUCGGCAAGGGGGUCAUCCCGACUUACCAACCCGAUGCAAACUGCGAAUACCGGAGAAUGUUAUCACGGGAGACACACGGCGGGUGCUAACGUCCGUCGUGAAGAGGGAAACAACCCAGACCGCCAGCUAAGGUCCCAAAGUCAUGGUUAAGUGGGAAACGAUGUGGGAAGGCCCAGACAGCCAGGAUGUUGGCUUAGAAGCAGCCAUCAUUUAAAGAAAGCGUAAUAGCUCACUGGUCGAGUCGGCCUGCGCGGAAGAUGUAACGGGGCUAAACCAUGCACCGAAGCUGCGGCAGCGACACUAUGUGUUGUUGGGUAGGGGAGCGUUCUGUAAGCCUGCGAAGGUGUACUGUGAGGUAUGCUGGAGGUAUCAGAAGUGCGAAUGCUGACAUAAGUAACGAUAAAGCGGGUGAAAAGCCCGCUCGCCGGAAGACCAAGGGUUCCUGUCCAACGUUAAUCGGGGCAGGGUGAGUCGACCCCUAAGGCGAGGCCGAAAGGCGUAGUCGAUGGGAAACAGGUUAAUAUUCCUGUACUUGGUGUUACUGCGAAGGGGGGACGGAGAAGGCUAUGUUGGCCGGGCGACGGUUGUCCCGGUUUAAGCGUGUAGGCUGGUUUUCCAGGCAAAUCCGGAAAAUCAAGGCUGAGGCGUGAUGACGAGGCACUACGGUGCUGAAGCAACAAAUGCCCUGCUUCCAGGAAAAGCCUCUAAGCAUCAGGUAACAUCAAAUCGUACCCCAAACCGACACAGGUGGUCAGGUAGAGAAUACCAAGGCGCUUGAGAGAACUCGGGUGAAGGAACUAGGCAAAAUGGUGCCGUAACUUCGGGAGAAGGCACGCUGAUAUGUAGGUGAAGUCCCUCGCGGAUGGAGCUGAAAUCAGUCGAAGAUACCAGCUGGCUGCAACUGUUUAUUAAAAACACAGCACUGUGCAAACACGAAAGUGGACGUAUACGGUGUGACGCCUGCCCGGUGCCGGAAGGUUAAUUGAUGGGGUCAGCGGUAACGCGAAGCUCUUGAUCGAAGCCCCGGUAAACGGCGGCCGUAACUAUAACGGUCCUAAGGUAGCGAAAUUCCUUGUCGGGUAAGUUCCGACCUGCACGAAUGGCGUAAUGAUGGCCAGGCUGUCUCCACCCGAGACUCAGUGAAAUUGAACUCGCUGUGAAGAUGCAGUGUACCCGCGGCAAGACGGAAAGACCCCGUGAACCUUUACUAUAGCUUGACACUGAACAUUGAGCCUUGAUGUGUAGGAUAGGUGGGAGGCUUUGAAGUGUGGACGCCAGUCUGCAUGGAGCCGACCUUGAAAUACCACCCUUUAAUGUUUGAUGUUCUAACGUUGGCCCCUGAUCGGGGUUGCGGACAGUGUCUGGUGGGUAGUUUGACUGGGGCGGUCUCCUCCUAAAGAGUAACGGAGGAGCACGAAGGUUGGCUAAUCCUGGUCGGACAUCAGGAGGUUAGUGCAAUGGCAUAAGCCAGCUUGACUGCGAGCGUGACGGCGCGAGCAGGUGCGAAAGCAGGUCAUAGUGAUCCGGUGGUUCUGAAUGGAAGGGCCAUCGCUCAACGGAUAAAAGGUACUCCGGGGAUAACAGGCUGAUACCGCCCAAGAGUUCAUAUCGACGGCGGUGUUUGGCACCUCGAUGUCGGCUCAUCACAUCCUGGGGCUGAAGUAGGUCCCAAGGGUAUGGCUGUUCGCCAUUUAAAGUGGUACGCGAGCUGGGUUUAGAACGUCGUGAGACAGUUCGGUCCCUAUCUGCCGUGGGCGCUGGAGAACUGAGGGGGGCUGCUCCUAGUACGAGAGGACCGGAGUGGACGCAUCACUGGUGUUCGGGUUGUCAUGCCAAUGGCACUGCCCGGUAGCUAAAUGCGGAAGAGAUAAGUGCUGAAAGCAUCUAAGCACGAAACUUGCCCCGAGAUGAGUUCUCCCUGACUCCUUGAGAGUCCUGAAGGAACGUUGAAGACGACGACGUUGAUAGGCCGGGUGUGUAAGCGCAGCGAUGCGUUGAGCUAACCGGUACUAAUGAACCGUGAGGCUUAACCUUACAACGCCGAAG
rnacentral:rRNA from 1 species